CGCAGCCGCGGUAAUUCCAGCUCCAAUAGCGUAUAUUAAAGUUGUUGCAGUUAAAAAGCUCGUAGUUGAAUUUCGGGAUCAAUGUUUCGGUCAUGCCGUUGGUAUGUACUGAUAUUAUUGGUUUCUCACCUUCUAAAGAACCGUAAUGCCAUUAAUUUGGUGUCACGGGGAAUUAGGACUGUUACCUUGAAAAAUUAGAGUGUUUAAAGCAGGCUCACGCUUGAAUACAUUAGCAUGGAAUAAUGAAAUAGGACAUCCGAUUCUAUUUUGUUGGUUUCUAGGAUCGAUGUAAUGAUUAAUAGGGAUAGUUGGGGGCAUUAGUAUUCAAUUGUCAGAGGUGAAAUUCUUGGAUUUAUUGAAGACUAACUACUGCGAAAGCAUUUGCCAAGGAUGUUUUCAUUAAUACAAGAACGAAAGUUAGGGGAUCGAAGACGAUCAGAUACCGUCGUA
rnacentral:rRNA from 1 species